GCCCCGAGGGACAGCCCCGAGGGACAGCCCCGAGGGACACCUGGUGUGCGGGGAGCAGCUCCUCUGCGGGGCUCCGCCGCUGCGGGGGUACCUACACGGGAGCACCUCCGCGCCAGAGCGGGGCUGGCUCCGCUCCCGGCCCGGGCUGCGGCCCCUUGAACAGUCCGGCGGCCUUUAGUGGCUCUUCUUACCCCCCUACAGUUUAAUUAAAAAGCAACGGCCCAGUUUUGGCCGUCGGGCCCAGCUAGGAAUUAAAAAUAAAACAGUGCACGGCCGAGCCGCAGCCCAGGCCCGCCCGUGGUCCCAGGUGUCCGCUUGCCCGUCCCCUGCACGCUGGGGCUGAGGUCCGAGUUGAGGUAAAUGAGCCCCGUUCACCUGGCACAAGGGAUUCCACUUCUUCAGGUAGCAUUAAAAAACUGCACAGACUCCAGAAAGGAAAUGAAUUUUUUUCUUUUAAUAUUGAACUUGUAAUUGUUCCUAUUUUUCCUCCUUAUUUGAUGACAGUGAACCAAAGCGACUGACAGCCUUUGUGCGACUCUUGGAGGGCGACCGCAGUGCGGCGAGGAGGAGUAAGAUUUCUGAAGGCAGAAUGGUGAAGAUGAAAGCGAGCCUCAGAACUAACAUGUGUGCUUUAUUUUUUAAAGAUGGAACAGAGAGGAGGCACAAUUACCCCAGAUUUAAAAGAUCUUUGUUCAAGCCCUGACCUACUGAAGGUUCCCAUACCUCAGCUUCUCCUCCCUGUCUUAAAGCCAGGUGCCUCAGAUUCCCUGAAGGGAAAGUGGCAAAUUACUGACGGCUGAGCCUUGGAGACACGGCACAAGGGAACCGCCAGCUCUGGCAUUCAUAAGCUGACCAGCCCUUACCAUGCAGAAGGUUUCCAGGAGCUGAACAGUGCAGCCAUGAUCUCAGGCAGCAAGAAUGAGAAAUCUUGUAAUCUUCCUGAAGGGCCUCACAUACUGAGCACUGCUAAAUAUUUGGCAAGAUAAAUGACAGAGCUG